rnacentral:rRNA from 1 species
UACGUAGGGUGCGAGCGUUAAUCGGAAUUACUGGGCGUAAAGGGUGCGCAGGUGGUUACGUAAGUCUGAUGUGAAAGCCCCGGGCUCAAUUUGGGAAUUGCAUUGGAGACUGUGUGGCUAGAGUGUGGUAGAGGGGGGUGGAAUUUUGUGUGUAGUAGUGAAAUGUUUAGAGAUGCGGAGGAACACCAAUGGCGAAGGCAGCCCCCUGGGUUAACACUGACACUCAUGCACGAAAGCGUGGGGAGCAAACAGG